AUUGCAGAAUUCAGUGGAAUCAUCGAAUCUUUGAACGCACCUUGCGCCCUUUGGCUAUUCCGAAGGGCAUGCCUGUUUGAGUAUCAUG
rnacentral:rRNA from 1 species